rnacentral:lncRNA from 10 species
AAAUCAUUCUUUUUAUUCCUGAAGGCUAAUGUGCGAGCAGCGCCGGGCCGGGCUGUGCUAAUGGCGGACAGCGUGGGCCUGCGGAGGGCGCGCAGCCUCUUCUGUCCUCCUGUAAUGAGCAGAGCCCCCACUCACAGCCCAUCCCACUCUUCAUUUAAAAGGCAAAUGAAGCGUGGAGAGGCACUCUCUCGGUUAAUGCAGUCACAGGUGUGGUUUUAAACAGGAUUUGUCCUCAGGAGCACUCCCUCUGUCCCGAAGUUCCCGUCUCAGAGCGCGCGCUCUCCCCAGGUCAGCUCCAGGCAGGUGUGGGGAGGAAGCCCCUCCGCAAGGGGAAGGAGCCGAUGGUUACCGAGGCUCUGCCGUAGGCCAGGCACUGUGCCACGCACGCGACUCGCGAGCACGCGUUGAAUCCUUGCAAACAUCCCGGGAAUGAAGUCGGACAAUUAUUCCCACUUUUCCCAAGAGAAAACUGAGAGCAUAAGCAACUUGUGCAAGCUCAAAGGGAAGAAUCACCAGUGACCAAGGGAGAUCUACAAACUCUCUCGCCCCGCAAGAGGGUGGAGGGAGAGGGAGGCGGUGGGGGGUUGAGGAGUGUAUCAGUCAGUCCUGGCAGGGAACACAGGAAACACGCCAAGGUUUCAUUGAAGGGGCAUAAAUGAAGAGGCUAUUUACAGAGGUGGGGGGCAGCUUUAAGGAAACUAUGAUAAAGCACCCAGGGUGGCUACCAUCCCAGGAGGAGAGGGAAAGGGCGGGAGCUGUGGCCAUGGGAGCUGGCAGCCCCCGCAACAGGAGCUGCAGCCUACAGCCUUGGUAGAGAAAUGUAGCCGCUGCCCAAACUGCCGCCUGGCAGCGAGGGAGGGGGUGGAUAGACGCCCUGGGCUUUAUCUCCUCCUGCCUUCAGAUCUACAGCAGUGCCUCCCAUUGCCUGCAUCCAAUUAAAAGCCAGAGGGCAAGAGAGUCCAGUGAUGCAGUCGUAGAGGUCAGCCUUCCAGGCACAAAGCAAAGUGGAGGACAGAAACCAGCACCAGAUGAGAUGUUCUCCUGGAAGCUUUGGGAAAGGCCAUCUCAGUCCCAUAGAGACUGGAGACUUUAGGAAGAGAGAGCCCCCAGUCUUGGAAAAACAAUUCCUAAUAGGAGAGACACCAGUUCCUGUUCAUAAGAGGUACCAAGUUGGGCGUCCUUGGACCCAGACAUAAGCUGGGGAGCCAGAGAAACCUGGAUGGAACAGGGACCCUAAGAAGUGGCUGAAUAACCACCAGGAGAGAGGGAGUGGCUUCCUGAACAGGAGCUGACCUGCAAGACCGGAAGAGGGAGGAGGAGAGGAGCUGGCUGAGUGAUGAACAGGGGCCAGCACUGAAGUACUGGGAAGAGAUGAGGGGCUACAGCGUUGGUGGCAGGGGAGCGCAGAGCCUGCAUAAAAGCAUCCAGCAGCCACCGGGAUCUUUCCAAAACACGAGCCCGAUCACGUCACUCACACUUGAGCCCACUGGAUGCUCUCCACUGCACGGAUCAAGUCUAAAGUCCUUCACUCCUUCCAAGGCUGACAGGAGGGCCAUCAGCCCCCCUACACUUCCCCGUAUUGAAUCAUAGCGUCUUAUGUCUGCGCCUUGUGCAAGUUCCCUCAACUUGAAAUUCUCCUGCCUGCCCACUCGGGCCCCAUCUGGCGCCCAGCCUCGCUGUACUGUCACUUCCCUCGGGAUCCUUUCCCAACACUCCUCUGCCUUUCUAGUUCUCCCGUUAUAAAACUUACCAGGAGACAAAGGCACCUGUCUGUGUUCUUAUCUUUGUCUCCCUGACUGUAAACCCCAGGAAGGCAGUAACUUUGGCUGGGUUGUUGUUACAACCUCACUGCUCAGCAAACGCACAGUGCCUGGCACUUAGUAGGUGCUGCAUGUACGUGUUAUAAUCCAUUCAAGGGAACAAGCGAGGAAAGCUUGAUGUGUGCUGACAUGGAGCCACCACCACGACACACUGUCAAGAAUUCAGGACAGGCUGGGCACGGUGGCGCAUGUCUGUAAUCCUAGCACUUUGGGAGGCCAAGGCGGGCGGACCACUUGAGGUCAGGAGUUUGAGACCACCCUGGCCAACAUGGUGAGACCCCCAUCUCUACUAAAAAUAAAAAAAUAGCCGAGGGUGGUGGCGCAAGCCUGUAAUCCAAGCUACUCGGGAGGCUGAGGUAGGAGAAUCACUUAAACCCAGGAGGCGGAGGUUGCAGUGAGCCAAGAUCGCGCCAUUGCACUACAGCCUGGGUAACAGAGUGAGACCCUGUCUAAAAAAAAAAAGAAUUCAGGACAGUGUGUGUUUGUAUAAAACAGAAUAUACGUGUAUUUAUGGAUCUGUACAUAAUAUCUUCACAAGCAGACUGAAGAAACUGAUAAGGUGAUUGUCUCUGAGAAGAGCUGGGUGAGUGGAGAUAGGAGUAGAAAGACAUGAUUAACACUAAGUGGGAAAUAUUUAAUAAUUAAUUGGGGCUGGGCGUGAUGGCUCACACCUGUAAUCCCAACACUUUGGGAGGAUGAGGCAGGCAGAUCACUUGAGCUUAGGAGUUGAAGACCAGCCUGGCCAACAUGGUGAAACCCCCAUCUCUACAAAAAAAGAAAAAAAAAAUUAGCUGGGCGCAGUGGCACGCACCUGUAAUCCCAGCUACUUGGGACGCUGAGGCACAAGAAUUGCUUGAACCUGGGAGGUGGAGGUUGCAGUGAGCUCAGAUUGUCCCACUGCACUGCAGCCUGGGUGACAGAGCAAGACUCUGUCUCAAAAAAAA